rnacentral:lncRNA from 1 species
UAAGCCAUGACUGCACCACUGCACUCCAGCCUGGGUGACAGAGCAAGACCCUGUCUUAAAAAAGAAAAGUUUAUUAACGUGAAUAUCAGUUAGAAAUCUAGUUGUUCAUUGCAAAACUAAACCAGUUUAUAGCAGAAAUAAGCACUUGGAGGGAAAUGUUACAUUUUCACUGCAGGCCUUGAAUCCUUAGCCACCAGCUCCGUGUCCUUCAGUGUUCUGUGGUUCCUGGUUCCAGAGAGAUCACCUGCUCCAAUGUAACGAGUGAAGAGUUCUUUAGAUUGUUUUCCUUGAUGCUGGAAAACAUUUUGAAGACAAGACUCUAAACAGUGACCUAUGCCACACUAGUUUAUUGGAAAAUGAGAAACUUACAUUACUGACAAGCUUGGAAGAUUCUUCAGUCCUGCAGUGACCUGAUGAUAUUGAUGAUGAAAUGUCUUACGAUGAUCAUUUAGAGGUUUAUUUCGAACAACUGGCAAUUCCAGGAAUGAUGGAAUAAAGCAUACGAAGUAGAAGGACUGGAACCUCCAGAAAAAGUACUUUAAGUUACCUACAGGUGAUCCUAGUCAGGUAUGAAUUGAUAAGAAAUGCCUGCACCUUCCCUCCUUCCUAUCUUUCCCUUGCCUACAGAAAAUUAAAAGGCAAAACAAUGGACAUCUACAUAUUCUUCAUUCAGAUCAACCAGUGGCUAGCAUUUGCCACCUUUUGCAGUUUCUUUCUCUUUCCAUAAGUACUUUCUUCUCUGAAUCAUUUGAAAGCAAAUGAAAACAGUAGCCUAAAGUGUCAGUUUCAACCCGAAAAUAACAGCUCUGAUUUCUCAUGGCUCACACUCGUCUGAAAUGACUCGGGUAGAGGCUGAGGAAGGCUGUGUUGUUUGUCUACCUGGGACUACACCUACUGAAAGAAGUUCUCAAGUUCUGAUUGAGUUCUAAAAUUCUUUUGAAGAUUGGAAUUCUUCAUAUGUAAAAAGAGAAGAGAAAGACAUUCUUGAUUUUGGUGACUAGAGUUGUAGAUGCUGGAAGCUUUGCCACUAACAUUGAUGAACCAGAUGCAUGUCACCAGCCCAUCACGGUGAUUCUUAAUGCCGGCACCAUGGGCCGGCACUGCCACGUUUUCCAAGGAACCUGCCAGAGCUCCUGCGGAAGCUGCUCCUCGGGCGAUGGAGUCCCUUUGCUGCUAGGCCCUUCUUCAGUCACCACAGGAUGCCUGCCAUUCAUGAACAGGAAGGAGAGGACGGGCUUUGAAUAAAAAACAGGAUCCAGGAAAUAUUUGUGAGGCCAUUUGGACUUCAGUGUGAAAUGGUGUUAAAAGAUGAAGUCAUUUAUUCAAGAAGUAAACCUCUGCCACCUGGACUGUGCUCAGACAUUUCAUUGAUUUUGUUUAAUAAACAUUUUCUGGCUUUGG